GUCAAGGCGGAACAGGGUAUCGUCAUGUUGUCCAAAAUGAAACACUUUAUUGUUGUGUUGUGAAGGUGGAACAGUCUAUGGCUGUGUCAAGGUGGAACACUCUGGGUAUUUGGUCAAGGUGGAACACUCAAUCUCCUAUCAUCCCUACUGCAUGACCCUGUAGUGUAGUCACAACCAUUACCUCUUGCAACAUUCCACAAAACUGCAUAUUGAUUUUCUAAAAAGUUGAAAACUGGACACACAAUUCUUUCCGAAGUGUCUGUUAAUAUAUAUCUGUGUGUUGUGCAAUAAAACCCAUCUUUGAUCUAUUAAAA